CAGCACCUCAAGUGGUCAGGAUGAUUAUUGGGCCUAAAGCAUCCGUAGCCGGCGCUGUAAGUUUUCGGUUAAAUCUGUACGCUCAACGUACAGGCUGCCGGGAAUACUGCAGCGCUAGGGAGUGGGAGAGGUAGACGGUACUCGGUAGGAAGGGGUAAAAUCCUUUGAUCUAUUGAUGACCACCUGUGGCGAAGGCGGUCUACCAGAACACGUCCGACGGUGAGGGAUGAAAACUGGGGGAGCAAACCGGAUUAGAUACCCGUGUAGUCC
rnacentral:rRNA from 1 species